rnacentral:lncRNA from 1 species
UAAAAAAUCAAACAAAUCAUAUCAUGCUUUGGUCUUAUUCUUUGCGCGAAGUCGUUUCCACUUCCAUCUAUUGAGGACAAUGCGGAUUCCCAACUACCCAUGUGGAAUGACCAAUUCAUUUCAUAUCAUAUCAGUAAUUUGCUACUUGCUAAACCAUCAGUAUAUUUAGAGCUUGCCAAACUAUGAUAUGAUCUAUGAACACAGUCGUACCGACCACAGUGGUCUUAUAUGUAAACUAUAGUCACACCUGUACAUUGCCAAAGGUGACCCCUACAAUUAUAUCACAUCAUUACUCUCGUCAGAAGAUAUGCCAUCAUCCAUAGAGAGUGGUACUCUCACAUCUUUUCAGACAAGAUGGAGGGAGAAAC